rnacentral:rRNA from 1 species
GAUGAACGCUAGCGGCAGGCUUAACACAUGCAAGUCGAGGGGUAUUGGUUUUCGGACCAAGAGACCGGCGCACGGGUGCGUAACGCGUAUGCAAUCUACCUUUUGCAGAGGGAUAGCCCCAGAGAAAUUUGGAUUAAUACCUCAUAGUAUAGUACUUUGGCAUCAAGGAACUAUUAAAGUCACAACGGCAAAAGAUGAGCAUGCGUCCUAUUAGCUAGUUGGUAAGGUAACGGCUUACCAAGGCUACGAUGGGUAGGGUCCUGAGAGGGAGAUCCCCCCACACUGGUACUGAGACACGGACCAGACUCCUACGGAGGCAGCAGUGAGGAAUAUUGGACAAUGGGCGCAAGCCUGAUCCAGCCAUGCCGCGUGCAGGAUGACGGUCCUAUGGAUUGUAAAC